rnacentral:rRNA from 1 species
UGCCUCGUAAAUUGAGGCCUGUAUGAAUGGCUAAACGAGGUCUUAACUGUCUCUUACAGGCAAUCGGUGAAAUUGAUCUCCCUGUGCAAAAGCAGGGAUAAACCCAUAAGACGAGAAGACCCUGUGGAACUUCAAAAUCAGCAACCACCCUUUAACACAUUCACACCCAUCGGGUUCACGACACUAAAAGGAGAUGGUCUGCAUUUUUCGGUUGGGGCGACCUUGGAGAAAAACAGAUCCUCCAAAGAUUAGACCACACCUCUAGACCAAGAGCAACACCUCGACGUGCUAAUAGUACCCAGACCCAAUAUAAUUGAUCAAUGGACCAAGCUACCCCAGGGAUAACAGCGCAAUCCCCUCCGAGAGUCCAUAUCGACGAGGGGGUUUACGACCUCGAUGUUGGAUCAGGACAUCCUAGUGGUGCAGCCGCUACUAAGGGUUCGUUUGUUCAACGAUUAAAGU